rnacentral:rRNA from 1 species
ACCUACGGGGGGCAGCAGUAGGGAAUAUUGCUCAAUGGGGGAAACCCUGAAGCAGCAACGCCGCGUGGAGGAUGAAGGUUUUCGGAUUGUAAACUCCUUUUGUUAGAGAAGAUAAUGACGGUAUCUAACGAAUAAGCACCGGCUAACUCCGUGCCAGCAGCCGCGGUAAUACGGAGGGUGCAAGCGUUACUCGGAAUCACUGGGCGUAAAGAGCGCGUAGGCGGGAAAGCAAGUCAGAUGUGAAAUCCUAUGGCUUAACCAUAGAACUGCAUUUGAAACUGGUAUUCUAGAGUAUGGGAGAGGUG